AGUGAACGCUGGCGGCAGGCCUAAUACAUGCAAGUCGAACGGCAGCACAGCAGAGCUUGCUCUGUGGGUGGCGAGUGGCGGACGGGUGAGGAAUACAUGGGAAUCUGCCCAGUCGUGGGGGAUAACGUAUGGAAACGUACGCUAAUACCGCAUGCGCCCUAAGGGGGAAAGCCGGGGACCGCAAGGCCUGGCGCGAUUGGAUGAGCCCAUGUUCGAUUAGCUAGUUGGCGGGGUAAAGGCCCACCAAGGCGACGAUCGAUAGCUGGUCUGAGAGGAUGAUCAGCCACACUGGAACUGAGACACGGUCCAGACUCCUACGGGAGGCAGCAGUAGGGAAUAUUGGACAAUGGGGGCAACCCUGAUCCAGCCAUGCCGCGUGAGUGAAGAAGGCCUCGGGUUGUAAAGCUCUUUUGUCCGGAAAGAAAAGCAAUCGGUUAAUACCCGGUUGUUCUGACGGUACCGGAAGAAUAAGCACCGGCUAACUUCGUGCC
rnacentral:rRNA from 1 species